UACAGAGGGUGCGAGCGUUAAUCGGAUUUACUGGGUGUAAAGGGCGCGUAGGCGGUGGGAUGUGUGUGAUGUGAAAGCCCCGGGCUUAACCUGGGAAGAGCAUUGCGGACUGUCGCACUAGAGUACAUGAGAGGGUGGCGGAAUUUCCGGUGUAGCGGUGAAAUGCGUAGAGAUCGGAAGGAACGUCAAUGGCGAAGGCAGCCACCUGGCAUGAUACUGACGCUGAGGCGCGAAAGCGUGGGGAGCGAACAGGAUUAGAUACCCUGGUAGUCCACGCUGUAAACGAUGAGGACUGGAUGUUGGCAGGGGAACCUGUCAGUAUCGAAGCUAACGCGAUAAGUCUUCCACCUGGGAAGUACGGCCGCAAGGUUGAA
rnacentral:rRNA from 1 species